GUUAUUGUCACCCCGCUAUGGAGAGCACAGACUUGGUUUCCAACCCUGCUAGAAAUGUCUGUGAAUUGCCCAAUUCUACUACCUCGAUCCUCCGACAUCCUCAGGAAUCCAGCAGGGCACUGUCACCCACUCACCCUUCAAGGGUGGCUCCAGCUUGUAGCUUGGACCGUUUCAGGGGAUCCUGGAACGUCUCGGGACUUUCGG